rnacentral:rRNA from 1 species
UACGGGGGGAGCAAGCGUUGUUCGGGUUUACUGGGCGUAAAGGGCGCGUAGGCGGUCGUGACAAGUCACUUGUGAAAUCUCUGGGCUUAACUCGGAACGGUCAAGUGAUACUGUCGGACUAGAGUACAGAAGGGGCAACUGGAAUUCUCGGUGUAGCGGUGAAAUGCGUAGAGAUGUGGAGGAACACCAGUGGCGAAGGCGGCUUUCUGGUCUGUAACUGACGCUGAGGCGCGAAAGCGUGGGGAGCAAACAGG